rnacentral:rRNA from 1 species
ACGCUCGACACCUACGGAGGCAGCAGUAGGGAAUCUUCCACAAUGGACGCAAGUCUGAUGGAGCAACGCCGCGUGAGUGAAGAAGGUCUUCGGAUCGUAAAACUCUGUUGUUAGAGAAGAACACGAGUGAGAGUAACUGUUCAUUCGAUGACGGUAUCUAACCAGCAAGUCACGGCCUAACUACGUGCUAGCAGCCGCGGUAAUCUGAGCGGGCUGGCAAGGC